GGGGGUGCACCGGAUUCGAUUGCCGGUGAGCGAGAAGAUAAGCAUACCGCAGACGGAGUGCCUGCGUCAAAAACAUUCCGAUAAAUAUAAAUGCAGAUAGAAAUGCAAACUACGCUCUUGCAGCGUAAACUCGUUUUUUAAAACGAUCGUCGCGCCCGACUUAUCCGUCGGUCGGGGCCGCGGCGUCAAAAAGACGGAAAAAUCUUAUAAAGAUCGGAAAGCGUUUUUAUAAGAUUAUCGAGCUUUCUGCGUAACGCUUUGCGUGUUUACCCGCUGCGCGUUAUUAAGAAAUAAUAGAUAAACUAA
rnacentral:tmRNA from 1 species